UAAUGGUCUCUUAAACCAAAUAAUAGUAAAUUAACGACUACUUCUGAUGGGGAAAUUAUAUCCAAAUCCCUCAAAUAUCCCCUCUUAUAUGAUUCUCACUAUUCAUUAUAUUUUCAGCUACAUUAAUCUUGUUUAAUCAAAUAAACUUCUUCUCAUUUAAACCUAACCUUAUUAAAAGAGCAGAAAAAGGAACAAUUGAAAUAAAAAACUUAAAUUGAAAAUGAUAACAAAUCUAUUCUCAACAUUUGACCCAUCAACUAACAUCUUUAAUUUAUCAUUAAAUUGAACUAGAACAUUUCUAGGACUAUUAUUAAUCCCAUCACUAUUUUGACUUACACCAUCACGAAUUAACAUUAUCUGAAAUAAACUAAAUUUAACCUUACAUAAUGAAUUUAAAACAGUUCUUGGACCAAAAUCAUUUAAUGGAACAACAUUCAUUUUCAUCUCAAUUUUUAUUAUAAUAUUAUUUAACAAUUUCAUAGGAUUAUUCCCUUAUAUUUUUACUAGAACAAGACAUUUAGCAUUAACAUUUGCAAUUGCCCUACCUAUAUGGCUAAGAUUUAUAUUAUUUGGAUGAAUUAACCAUACUAAUCAUAUAUUUACACACCUUGUACCACAAGGUACACCGCCUGCAUUAGUAUCAUUUAUAGUACUAAUUGAAACAAUUAGUAAUGUUAUUCGACCAGGUACAUUAGCAGUACGGUUGGCAGCAAAUAUAAUUGCAGGACACUUAUUAUUAACCUUAUUAGGAAACACAGGACCAUCUAUAGCAAUAAACUUAAUCUCAUUACUAAUUAUUGGACAAAUACUUCUAUUAAUUCUAGAAUCAGCAGUAGCAAUAAUUCAAGCCUAUGUUUUCUCAAUUCUAAGAACUCUAUAUUCUAGAGAAGUAUAUUAAACCUAUGUUAACAACUCACUCAAACCACCCAUUCCACUUAGUAGACUAUAGACCUUGACCAUUAACAGGAGCAAUUCGUGCAAUAGUCCUAGUAUCAGGACUAGCAAAAUGAUUCCACCUAUUUAAUAUUAACUUAUUCAUAAUUGGAUUUGGAAUUACCCUACUAACUAUAAUUCAAUGAUGACGAGAUGUAGUACGAGAAGGAACAUAUCAAGGAUUACAUACAGGAUUUGUAUCAAUUGGAUUACGAUGAGGAAUAAUUUUAUUUAUUGCAUCAGAGGUAUUAUUUUUCGUUUCUUUUUUUUGAGCAUUCUUUAGAAGACGAUUAGCACCAACAAUUGAACUAGGAAUACUAUGACCUCCAAUAGGAAUUCAACCCUUUAACCCUAUACAAAUUCCAUUACUUAAUACAGCUAUUCUUUUAGCAUCAGGAGUAACAGUAACAUGAGCACAUCAUAGUUUAAUGGAAUCUAAUCAUACUCAAGCAGUACAAGGAUUAUUCUUCACAGUGUUAUUAGGACUAUACUUUACAAUACUUCAAGCAUAUGAAUAUUGAGAAGCACCUUUUACCAUUGCAGAUGCAGUUUAUGGAUCAACAUUCUUCGUUGCAACAGGAUUCCAUGGUUUACACGUAAUUAUUGGAACAAUCUUUUUAUCAACAUGUCUACUUCGACACUCAAUAAAUCAAUUUUCACCAAGACAUCACUUUGGAUUUGAAGCAGCAGCAUGAUACUGACACUUCGUAGACGUAGUAUGAUUAUUCUUAUAUAUCUCUAUUUAUUGAUGAGGUAGAUAAUU